rnacentral:tRNA from 1 species
ACAAACGGAAAUCGGCAUAGUGAAUUCCGCCCUCCGAAGGCAGAGGUCACAGGUUCGAAUCCUGUCGGGUGCGCCA